rnacentral:rRNA from 1 species
UGGGGGAUAUUGGGCAAUGGGCGAAAGCCUGACCCAGCAACGCCGCGUGAAGGAUGAAGGCUUUCGGGUUGUAAACUUCUUUUAUCAGGGACGAAGAAAGUGACGGUACCUGAUGAAUAAGCCACGGCUAACUACGUGCCAGCAGCCGCGGUAAUACGUAGGUGGCGAGCGUUAUCCGGAUUUACUGGGUGUAAAGGGCGUGUAGGCGGGACUGCAAGUCAGAUGUGAAAACUAUGGGCUCAACCCAUAGCCUGCAUUUGAAACUGUGGUUCUUGAGUGAUGGAGAGGCAGGCGGAAUUCCCUGUGUAGCGGUGAAAUGCGUAGAUAUAGGGAGGAACACCAGUGGCGAAGGCGGCCUGCUGGACAUUAACUGACGCUGAGGCGCGAAAGCGUGGGGAGCAAACAGGA